rnacentral:rRNA from 1 species
CCCUUAGAUGUUCUGGGCCGCACGCGUGCUACACUGAGUGGAUCAGCGGGUCUGGUUGCGCGAAAGCGUUUCCUAAUCUUUAAAUCCGCUCGUGAUGGGGAUUGACGGUUGCAAUUUUCUGUCAUGAACGAGGAAUUCCUAGUAAGCGCGAGUCAUCAGCUCGCGUUGAUUACGUCCCUGCCCUUUGUACACACCGCCCGUCGCUACUACCGAUUGAAUGGUUUAGUGAGGACUCCUGAUUGGCGCCGCCGCCCCGGCAACGGAGCAGCGGACUGCCGAAAAGUUGUCCAAACUUGAUCAUUUAGAGGAAGUAAAAGUCGUAACA